rnacentral:rRNA from 1 species
ACUAAAUGAUUAAUAGCUAUGUUCUUUAAAGUUAAAAAAUUUGGCGGUAUUUUAGUCUAUUCAGAGGAACCUGUUCUGUAAUUGAUAGUCCACGAUUAAAAAAUACUUUAGUUUUAAAUUUGCAUAUCGUUGUAGUUUGAGUAUUUUAUAAGAAUUAUAAUAUUCAAUAGGUUAAAUUAAAAUUUAAAUCAAAUCAAGGUGUAGUUUAUAUUAAAGAAGAAAUGGGUUACAGUAAUUUUUAAUUAAGGAUAAAUUUUUUUAAAAAAAUUUUGAAUACGGAUUUGAGAGUAAUUUUUAUUUAUA